AUAUGAUCAUGACAUCAGUGAUGAUACAUAUACUGAUGACAUCUGAGAAAAAAGUCCUAGUCAUGAACGGCAACACAAAUAGCCCAAGAAGAAAGCAAUGACUGCUGUUCUCUGGCUGGCUGUGACUAGAGAGAACUGCUAAAGGAACCUGAGGCUGCUUGUUUGUAAUGGAGGUAGAACAGAGAAAUGCUGAGGGAUGCUACACAGGGAUGCUGAUUUUAAGGUUAGAAGGAGUCAAAGAUUUCAAGGAAAGAAGAAAGGAAGGAACAAAUGAAGGAAUGAAGGAAUGAAGGAAUGAAAAAGGAAAUGAAAAGCUUUUGUUAAAUGCCUGUAGUGUGCCAGAUAACAAGAUCCUAACUUCAGGGCACCUGGGUGGUUCAACAGAUGGAGCCUGAGGCCUGGAGUCUUCCAUCAGAUACUUACUAGCUUUGUAGCCCUGGACAAGUCAAUUAACUGUUUGCUUCAGUUUCCUGAUCUAAAUGUAAAAUGAGCUGGAGAAGAAAAUGGCAAACCACGCCUGUGUCUUUGCCAAGAAAAGUCUAAAUGCUAUUUCAAAGAGUCAGACAUGCCUGAAUCAACUGAAAAGAAGCAAUGAUGUUCCUGGCAUUUUGUGAAACACUGGAGAUACUUCAAUGAUAAAAACAUAAGAAGGCAAAACAAAACAAACUAACAAUCUAAGAAACAAACACACAGCCCUUAAUCUCAGAGAGCUUAUGAUGUAGUGGGGAAACAACAUGUAAAUAACUAGGUACAAUACUUAGCCAGUAGUUGGAAUAGAAUCUGAAUGGAAAAGCACUAGUUGUUUGGGGAGUGGGGAAGAGUGGAAGAGACUGGGUAAGGCCUCUUGCAGAAGGUGGGAUUUGACCUGGAUCUUAAAGUAAGUGAGUGAACUCAGAGGUAGGGGUGAGAAGAGAAAGGAUAAGGCACAAACAUGGGAGUAGAGUAUCCUUGGAGGAACAAUUAGCAGGGCAGUGUAGAUGGAUUAUGGACUGUGUAAAAGAGAGUCAAGUGUAAGAAAAUUGGAAAGUUUAUAAAGGGAAAGA
rnacentral:lncRNA from 1 species